CGAUCGGACGAUCCAAACUUCGGUCAACAAAAUCAGCCCAAGAUACAACUUUCUCUUCUCUUUAGCUUCAUCAUCUUCAUCAAAAUUAGGGAGAAAACAUACGCACACAUAAAAAAAACUCCAUCGAUUAUCCAGACAAACUUCAACUACUUUUCUGCGCAACCCAUCCCCCUACCCUGAAAAUCCACUGAACCUCUCUUACCCCUUCAAUCACGUCUGAGUAUCAGUAGCGCCCAGACCUUAUCCCUAUGGAAUCCCCUCAAAUCCUCUAGAAUGCAAGCUCCAAAAUCUCUUUACCUCUGAUAUCUCACAGAGAUUAAGGCUUCAUUGUUGACUGCAGACUCAUGGUUACUUGUUUUGUUGCCCAAAAUCCCAUCUGACUCAGAACCAUCAAUCAAAUUCAGAUUAUUGAGGAUAUAUUUUCAUCUCCUUUCACCUUUGUCAAAUUUGAAUCCCUUCCAUAUCUCAAAGGUUUAAGCUUUGAAAUUCAAAAUUGAUUAUUUUCUUGCUAUAAAUAGCUGCAUCCAAUUUCGUUGAAGACAGAGAAAAACCCAGUUAAAAAACCUCAAGAAAGCCAGUAAACAUUCAUAGCCUUGGAGAUUUAGAAGCUUUUACACAAUCAGAAACUCAAGUUUAAGAUUCAAAAUAGCAUAAACACAACAUAAAUUCAAAGUUCUUCGUGAUUUUCUUUCUUGCCAAUUCAAACCCGAGCUCGAGUUUGGGUUAAAGAGGUUGUGAUCCCACUGAAACCUCGACGUCGGAGCCUCAGUUUUUCUUUCCAACACAAGAGUUUCAUUCGAAACUCGUCUUGACCCAAAGAUCGGGUCAACAACUACUAGGAUCGUCAGUGCUUGGAGUUCAUAUCGUAGGAGUUGGUUCUUUCAAAGGAAUUUAGCAUGUAUCAUCCUCACUUUUCUUUAUGUUUCUUAUUGUUCGAGUUCACUCCAUUUAUUGUGUUUCAUCGAUAUUGGCUCAAGGUUUGAUUGGAUUUAUUUAGCUUAAUAUUUUUCGAAUUGAUUUCCUUUCGCUAAUUUUUCCUCAACUACUUGGCUAAGUACUAAUGGUGUAUCUUUUAAUAAAUUAUUACACACUUAUUCAUGAUACUUUUGGUACGGAA